GCGGGAAAACUCACCAGGUCCAGACAUAGGAAGGAUUGACAGAUUGAGAGCUCUUUCUUGAUUCUAUGGGUGGUGGUGCAUGGCCGUUCUUAGUUGGUGCCGUCAGGUGUCUGGUUAAUUCCGUCAACGAACGAGACCUUUGCCGGCUUAUUAGAUUCUUUUUCUGAGGAUUAAGGAUCUACUUAGCGGGACCUUGUGCGUCACAGUACAAUGAAACAAAGGCAAUAA
rnacentral:rRNA from 1 species